CCUCAGAGUAGCUGCGAGUGCUGCGUCUUCUUCUUGUGUGACAGGUGUCAGAGUUAAGUCACGAUACUGCCACCUGGGCACUCAACCAGGUACUGUUACCAAGUAUUUACAUGUGGUUUCAUCACUGUUCAUUUUAAAUAUUGCAGUUAUCACUAAUACCGGUAUAUCCUCAUACACUAAAUUAACACGAUAUCGAUAAUUGUUUAUUUGAAUAUCACGGUUAUCGUCAAUACCGGUAUAUCGCGACAGCCCUAGUCUAAACUUAGGAC